CACAAACGAAAGAUAAGAAGAGGAAGUGUUCCAAUAUCCCUCUGCAGCACUUGUAACAAAUGAAGUCCAUGCCAUGACCAAUUGACUGUUCUGAGGACAGUGGCUUGUAGUAGGCCUCUACUCUGAGAUCAGGGGUCCCUUCCAGAAAACAGGCUUUGAGUCUAAGCCCACGUUUAUACGUAGCAGGGUAUUUAUAGAAACAAAUAUUUCCCCCUCUCCGUUUUCAAAAAUAACAUUGUGCACACAACAUUGUUUUCAAAAAAGUUCUCAUUUACAUCAAAACGCAUAAAUAUGCAGUCGAGCACCAUUGUAACUAUGCCAAACCUAUGGGAGGAAAGUGUAGGGAGAACUAAGGAUAAAGCCAUGCAAGCCAAUUAGAAUCCUCUGAAUCAACAACAACGAAUAACACGAGCGACUUCCUGUUCCUUUCAAAACAACAUAGUUUAAUUCAUUUUUCACAAUUUACCAGCUAUAAUUUGAAAUUCGUCCCAGCUAGGGGACUAGGGUCUAUAUCUAUAGCAUAUAACCGCGUUUUCUGAUUACAGUUUAAUGUAACGGUAAGCUGACAACAUCGGUAAUUAUCACCGCAACUGCAAAUUAAUCACACAGAGAUAACGGGGCCUAACCCUGAACUCUGAGUUGAUUAACCCCAAGUUAGGAAACUCGAGUUUUCGGCUGCAGAACAGCUGAUCUGAGUUAGUUCAAUCAACUAGUUAGGUUAGAUUCACAGAGUCAGGCCCCGUUUACACGAAGGGAAAACACAGAUAUUUCAACUCGUUAAGUAAACGCAGGUUUAAGCCAUUCCCUCCGCUGAGAAUAUCAUUAAUAUACUCUAUGAAUGAUUAAGCCAAAGGGUUUUGUCGGUUUCUAAAAACUCUUGCCUUCCUAAGAGACCUGUGGCAUUAACAACUGUGAUGCAGUUGUAUCAAGUAUCAGUACCACACUGCCACCACCAUCAUCAUGUUGGAUAGCCUGUCAUGUCUCGGGUUCUUUCCAAUUCUCGUAAUUGGGAAGAAUUGCAAGGGAAGAAUUGUUGCCGAAGUUAAGUACAGCCUGGACUUUAAGCUGCCCGAGGACUUGGAGGACAAGUUAAAAAAAGUUUUUGAAAAUAUUUUGAGAGUUUAUUGUGGAAGAGCCAACAGAGAGGCCCCCUCCACCUCCUCCGGGCAGGAAGAGGAGGCGCCCCCGGCCCCCUCCACCUCCUCCGGGCAGGAAGAGGAGACGCCCCAGGCCCCCUCCACCUCCUCCGGGCAGGAAGAGGAGACGCCCCAGGCCCCCUCCAACUCCUCCGGGCAGGAAGAGAAGGUGCCCCAGGCCCCCUCCAACUCCUCCGGGCAGGAAGAGAAGGUGCCCCAGGCCCCCUCCACCUCCGGGCAGGAAGAGAAGGUGCCCCAGGCCCCCUCACCUCCUCCGGGCAGGAAGAGAAGGUGCCCCAGGCCCCCCAGGCAGGACAUGGAGACUAUGAGCUGUGAGGAGUGUGAUGAUAAGGGGAAGCGAGGAAUCUUCCCCUACUCACGCAUUAUGAAAAAGAGAGGAAGGAAAGUCCUUAUGGAAUGGCAACCAUGUGGGACAUGUAAAAGAACAUGGGAGCCGACGUGGGAGCCAAAGUCAGCCAUUGCAGUUAAAAAAAGAAAUGGAGUCUGAGGAAGAGACGGGGUGCAAGAGAACAGGGACACAGUGAAAGAGAACAGGGAGACGAGGUGCAAGGGGCCAGGGGGACAGGGAGAAAGAGGACAGGGGAACAGGGAGAAAGAGGACAGGGGGACAGGGUGCAAGGGGACAGGGUGCCUUGUUAUGUAAAGGUAAUCUUUGUAAAUACAAUUGUUUCAAAAAUAUUUGGUGUAUCAUGUUUAAAGUGAAAUACUUUCAUUGCAUCACAAUAUGCCAGAUGGGAUACCGAAAGCAAUCCUAAAGGAAUCCCAUUUUGCUGCAGUUCAAUGUUGCCGCUGUAUACAGCAUUAUGUAAAAAGGUCAAUGUAUUUCUCAAACCUCGCUAAGAUCUGGCUACUUGCUUUCAGGUCAUCUGGUAAACUCAUCACUUAUUGUAAUGUAAUAUACCAUGGAAUGAUAUUUUUGUACCUAUACACAGGAUUGAUUUAACCAUUGUGCCAUAAUCCAAGAUGAGCUUUCACAGAGGCAUAAUUCAGAAAUUAGAAUGAUAAUGAAUCCCUGAAAAUGAAUAACAUCUGUCAUAAAUAAACAGCGGGGGGAGGGGGAAACACGUUUGUUUAUAAGGGGGGGGGGGGGGAUAUUUCCAACACUUCCAAACCGGAAGUGUUCCAAUACCCGUACUUCCAUGAGGAUACUUAAAGGAAGUAUACUAUACUGUACUAUCUGAGUACGGAUAGGUACUCAGAUAGUACAGUGCCGUGUUCCAAUACCCGUACUGUCCGCACUUACUAGCCAAAAUUUGAGUACACAGUACGUUACAAUUCAGAUCCGGCGAAAAGAAGUAUACUUCAAGGACCGGGAUGCCGUACUCAAAACGGGCUAAUCGUGAAGUGUGGAUCGAAGGACACUCCCCGUACUCAACGGCAGCCAUCUUAGCUACGUAGCGGAAGUGGCGGAGCCAGGCUGAGCCAAAGUCGGCGCAUUUUCCACAUAGCCUGCAUUAAUAAAGUAAUUUUGUAGUUUUUAUAGUUUUUAUAGCUUCUUAUAGCUGCUAGGCGUAAAGAGUUCACCGUUCAAAGCGGGAUGUUUAUUGCGGGGGAGGAGCCACGGCGGCAGUCAUGAUCGUCAUUUCCGAUCCGGCGAAAAGAAGUAUACUUCAAGGACCCGGAUGCCGUACUCAAAACGGGCUAAUCGUGAAGUGUGGAUCGAAGGACACUCCCCGUACUCAACGGCAGCCAUCUUAGCUACGUAGCGGAAGAGGCGGAGCCAGGCUGAGCCAAAGUCGGCGCAGUCGUGAUCGUCAUUUCCGGUGUCUGUUGUCUGGGAGCUAAUUGGUAUUGACCUGACCGGACCUCUCCCAAAAACUGUGGAUGGCUUCCAGUACAUUUUAACAGCCACAGAUUACUUUUCAAAAUGGGUUGAGGCUUUCCCAUUAAAGAAAAAAACUGCAGCUGAAGUGGGGCGCCACAUCUGCUCAAUUAUUUAUACACAUUUUUGUCCCAAAAUAAUCGUAUCUGACCAGGGAAGAGAGUUUGUUAGUGAAGUGUGUGCGUUUUAAUAAUGCUAUUGUAGUAAAUACAAUUCAGGAAUUAUUCCUUUCUGCUUGGAAUGUAUUUUUUUUUUGACAUGAACUGAUUUUAUUUCAGCUCAACACCAGACUUUGCAGUAUUUUGGCUAUUCAAAGUAGUGUGACAGCUGCCUAUCAUCCCAAAACCAAUGGUCUGGAUGAGAACACAUUGUUAAACAUAACUAUUUAUUAUUAUACUAUUUUAUUUGAGUCGACAUUUGUUCAGUGUUCAGGAGUUAUUUAUUUAGUUUAAUUGAUUUUUUUUUUUUUUUUGGUGUUUGUUUUUUUACAUUAUGUACAUUGCACAUACUGUACCGCUAAAACCUUCAAUAUACGUUAUAAAACAGCAUCAACAGUGUACAGGGUGAGUAGUGGUGUAAAAUAACGUGAUUCUGCAGUGGGAGCAUUAUUUGAUAGAGGCGAUUGGUCUAUCCACAUACGGUACUCCUGAAAUCUUCAAUAAAGACGUUAUAAACAAGCAUCAAAAUAUGCUCCCAAUAUUCUUACAGUGUACAUAGUGUGAGUUGUGGUUUAAAAUAAUGUGAUUAUGCAGUGGGAGCAUUAUUUGAUAGAGGCGGUUUGUCUAUCCACAUAGGCUAAUUUACCCCUGCUAUCUUAAAUAAAGACGUUAUAAACAAGCAUCAAAAUAUGCUCCCCAUAUUCUUACAAUGGGUGAGUUGUGGUUUAAAAUAAUGUGAUUCUGCAGUGGGAGCAUUAUUUGAUAGAGGCAAUUGGUCUAUCCACAUAGGCUACUUUACCCCUUCUAUCUUAAAUAAAGACGUUAUAAGCAAGCAUCAAAAUAUGCUCCCCAUAUUCUUACAGUGUACAUAGGGUGAGUUGUGUUUUAAAAUAAUGUGAUUCUGCAGUGGGAGCAUUAUUUGACAGGCGAUUGGUCUAUCCAC
ensembl:lncRNA